rnacentral:rRNA from 1 species
AUAGGAUCUUCUCCUUCAUGGGAGAUGAUUGAAAGAUGGUUUCGGCUAUCACUUACAGAUGGGCCCGCGGUGCAUUAGCUAGUUGGUGAGGUAACGGCUCACCAAGGCAACGAUGCAUAGCCGACCUGAGAGGGUGAUCGGCCACACUGGGACUGAGACACGGCCCAGACUCCUACGGGAGGCAGCAGUAGGGAAUCUUCCGCAAUGGACGAAAGUCUGACGGAGCAACGCCGCGUGAGUGAUGAAGGCUUUCGGGUCGUAAAACUCUGUUGUUAGGGAAGAACAAGUACAAGAGUAACUGCUUGUACCUUGACGGUACCUAACCAGAAAGCCACG